rnacentral:rRNA from 1 species
UACGUAGGAGACGAGCGUUGUCCGGAGUUACUGGGCGUAAAGGGCGCGCAGGCGGCCUGUCAGGUGUCUGGUGAAAGCUCCCGGCUUAACUGGGAGAGGUCCAGGCAAACCGUCAGGCUUGAGCGUCGGAGAGGGGCAUGGAAUUCCGGGUGUAGCGGUGGAAUGCGUAGAGAUCCGGAAGAACACCGGUGGCGAAGGCGGCCUGCUGGGCAGUAGCUGACACUGAGGCGCGACAGCGUGGGGAGCAAACAGG